rnacentral:rRNA from 1 species
CCCUUAGAUGUUCUGGGCAGCACGCGCGCUACAAUGGUCUUCGCAAACGGAUGCAUUCUCGAAGGAGAAUGCCAAUCUUGGAAUCUAUGCCUUGGUCGGGACAGUUGCUUGCAAUUUUUCGACUCGAACCAGGAAUUCCUUGUAAUCGUGAUUCAUCACAUCACGAUGAAUACGUCCCUGCCCUUUGUACACACCGCCCGUCGCUCCUACCGAUCGAAGAGUUAGGUGAAUUGUUUUGAUCGAUAAGAUUUGACUAUGGUCAACUCUCGUUGUGAAAUUCUGUGAAUCUGACUGUUUAGAGGAAGGAAGAGUCGUAACA